UAAGAGUGUCUUUGGAUUAACUGUAAGG
rnacentral:piRNA from 1 species